AUUGAACGCUGGCGGCAGGCUUAACACAUGCAAGUCGAGCGGAGAGAGGUAGCUUGCUACUGAUCUUAGCGGCGGACGGGUGAGUAAUGCUUAGGAAUCUGCCUAUUAGUGGGGGACAACAUUUCGAAAGGAAUGCUAAUACCGCAUACGUCCUACGGGAGAAAGCAGGGGAUCUUCGGACCUUGCGCUAAUAGAUGAGCCUAAGUCGGAUUAGCUAGUUGGUGGGGUAAAGGCCUACCAAGGCGACGAUCUGUAGCGGGUCCGAGAGGAUGAUCCGCCACACUGGGACUGAGACACGGCCCAGACUCCUACGGGAGGCAGCAGUGGGGAAUAUUGGACAAUGGGCGCAAGCCUGAUCCAGCCAUGCCGCGUGUGCGAAGAAGGCCUUAUGGUUGUAAAGCACUUUAAGCGAGGAGGAGGCUACUUUAGAUAAUACCUAGAGAUAGUGGACGUUACUCGCAGAAUAAGCACCGGCUAACUCUGUGCCAGCCGCCGCCGUAA
rnacentral:rRNA from 1 species